rnacentral:rRNA from 1 species
UACGGGGGGAGCAAGCGUUGUUCGGAUUUACUGGGCGUAAAGGGCGCGUAGGCGGUCAGCACAAGUCAGUUGUGAAAUCUCCGGGCUUAACUCGGAAAGGUCAACUGAUACUGUGCGACUAGAGUGCAGAAGGGGCAACUGGAAUUCUCGGUGUAGCGGUGAAAUGCGUAGAUAUCGGAAGGAACACCGGUGGCGAAAGCGGCGCGCUGGACCUCUUCUGACGCUGAGGCGCGAAAGCCAGGGGAGCAAACGGG